rnacentral:rRNA from 1 species
GUACCUACUAGCCUACGACGGGUACGGGUUGUGAGAGCAAGAGCCCGGAGAUGGAUUCUGAGACACGAAUCCAGGCCCUACGGGGUGCAGCAGGCGCGAAAACUUUACAAUGCUGGAAACAGCGAUAAGGGGACCUCGAGUGCCAGGAUACAAUCCUGGCUGUCGUAAUGCCUAAAAAGCAUUGCAUACAAGGGCCGGGCAAGACCGGUGCCAGCCGCCGCGGUAACACCGGCGGCUCGAGUGGUAACCGCUAUUAUUGGGUCUAAAGGGUCUGUAGCCGGCUGACUAAGUCUCUUGGGAAAUCUGACAGCUUAACUGUCAGGCUUUCAGGAGAUACUGAUCGGCUCGAGACCGGGAGAGGUGAGAGGUACCUCAGGGGUAGGGGUGAAAUCUUGUAAUCCUUGAGGGACCACCAGUGGCGAAGGCGUCUCACCAGAACGGAUCUGACGGCAAGGGACGAAAGCUAGGGGCACGAACCGGAUUAGAUACCCGGGUAGUCCUAGCCGUAAACGAUACUCGCUAGGUGUCGGCCACGGUGCGACCGUGGUC